AUGGAACAAGACGACGCCCCCGGUUUUGCCCAGCAGGUCUCCGACGUCGUGCGCUCUCCACCGGCCACUCCCCCCGUCAGAAUCAGCCACAACUCACACGAGGGUCUACACUCCCAGCCAUACACGUCCAGGAAAGGCACCUUGUCACGCAGCGCGUCUCGUGUCAUUGAUAAAUACCGCCGCAAGAGAGCCACAAAUAAGUCGACGAAAGGCAAUGCAACUAGCACCAGAAUAAAUUCAAGAUGCCAACCAAAGUGUGUCGUUACUUUGAUUAACAGUUUUGAUGACAUGAAAAAGGAUCUUGUCCGUCAAACAGGGCUUCACGGCAUCCUUCAGCUGAAGUUAACUAAAGUUAACAGACAGUAUGGCGCAUGGCUUCUGAGCAAGAUUGAUGUUGAUUCAUGUGCCAUCGUAGCUGAUCUUCAUAAAGUGAUCCCCUUCUCUGCGAGGGACGUUAAUUCAGUCUUGGGUGUACCAUGCAGCGGGAGAACCAUUGAGACCUGUAACCAAGAUGAGACAAUCUACCUGGACCAUAUUGCGCCAUCAAAUAACGAUGUCAACUGUGAAACCAGUCCUAGGAUUGCGGCAUUCGAUGAUGACCUCGUCACCCGCAUUAUCAUGAAUGACAUGAAGUGCAAACACAACAUUGGGUUCCCUUUCCCUCAGUUUGGGAAGCUGCAGGUCCGGCGGUCUGGGCAGUCACGGUGCACUUCAUUUGAACCCCACAUCAGACCUUACCCCAACAUCCUUCAGCAAGGAUACUGCUUCACCAUGCCAACAUACAAUGAAGUAUGGCUUCAAAAUUCUUGUCCGUUCAACAUCUCCAUAAAGUUACGCACUCUCCAGCAAUCAAUUGCACGCGGUGGCUGGAUGGAUACUGACUGCUUAAAUUUUGCGAUCCGCAAAAUGUUCUUGGAUGACGUGGAUCGGUUCGAGGGAACAAACUAUUUGGGAUGGAGACACUUCAUAAACCUCGACUUUGCAAGCUAUGCCUUGGCGGGGGGUGAAUUCUGGGUUCCAGAGCACCAGCUAGGACACUUCAUUGGAACACACAUACGUUAUGACGUUUCGCAAAGCCAUCAGAUACUCAUACCACUUCAUCUAGUUAAUCACUAUGCGUUGUAUGCAUUCGACAUGGAGAACAAGAAAAUAUCGAUACUUGACUCGCUCAGUGCACUAGGCCCCUUCAACGAAUCAAGAAUAUCUAGACAUAACAAGACAUGUCACACCAUAGCAUAUCAUCUCGCCGAGUGCAUGAGAUUAGCUUUUCCUGGAUGGGAUGAGGACAUACCUAGCUGGGGUAUUGAGGUCGUAGAGAACAUACCAGAACAACAAAACUCGGAUGAUUGCGAUUUUCUUGUAUUGAACUUCAUGCGCAACUGGAAUGGCCUCCGUCUAAUUAAUUUCAUAAGCAAGGAUUCUAACGACCUAAGGUGCACUUUUCUACUGGACUUGCUGACGUUCAAGACAAAUGAAGCUUCUCUUCCAGAUUGGGUUAAACUCCAGCUCAGCCAGCUUAGGGAUUAG
rnacentral:rRNA from 1 species